UUUAUGGGGAUGGAGGAGGGCGUGGGUGGAAGCGGCAAAGGUAGGGGUCUCACGCUUAGUCCUGUUAUUUAUGGGGAUGGAGGAGGGCGUGGGUGGAAGCGGCAAAGGUAGGGGUCUCACGCUUAGUCCUGUUAUUUAUGGGGAUGGAGGAGGGCGUGGGUGGAAGCGGCAAAGGUAGGGGUCUCACGCUUAGUCCUGUUAUUUAUGGGGAUGGAGGAGGGCGUGGGUGGAAGCGGCAAAGGUAGGGGUCUCACGCUUAGUCCUGUUAUUUAUGGGGAUGGAGGAGGGCGUGGGUGGAAGCGGCAAAGGUAGGGGUCUCACGCUUAGUCCUGUUGUUAGUAGUUCUUUGCACAGAGCUUUGAUUCGUCAUCACUCCUAUAUGCAUGUGUGC